AGUUCUGGCAAAGCAUGUUGAAGUCUGAGAGUCAAACUCUGCAUGCUUUCUUAACAGCUACAGGAAUUAUACCAUCAUGGUUGGCUCUGCUUCACUUGGCAUUGAGAAGCCAAGAUUACUGCCAAAAAUAAGAUGACACAAAUACAGCACUGUCUCCUCCCUACCUAGGUCUUGGAUCACGAAGCAUGGCAGCAUUUAUGUUCCAGGAUAGUACUUGAAGAACACGCUUCACAGGGACACAGGCAUGUUGGGAAUCUUACCUGUGUGUACAAGGAAUAAAAGAAAGUGCCAGUCAUUACGUCACGCUGCGAAGCUGUGGUCAGUCUCAGCCCAGUUAUGAGCACUACAAAAUUACCUGCGACAUGCCUGGAGAAGAAUUUUUUAAAACAUCAUUCCAAAGAAGAAUUCUCUCAGCCUUUCAAAUUGAAAUUGGUUAGAAUCCCAAAGUAUGAAAGUUUUCAUCCUGUUCAAAAUAUUACUUUUUCCUAGAUUAGGGGUGGAUGUUCUCAUUACCCAGAUAAAAUGUUAUCUCUUUUUCUAAGGCUCUGAAACUCUUGAGUGCACUGAUAUUUCAUGACAGCCAGUUUCACAGGUUAAUUACAAACUGUGUAAAAGUAUAUUGCUUUUCUAUUUCAUCAAACAUUUUCAUUCUUGUAUUGUUAGAGGAUAAACAGGAGUUUCUUAUUGACCUUCUCUGCAGCUUUUCUUGUUUUAUCUGAAUCAAAUAUAUUCCUUCUGAAGCAUCUAUUUCUCUCUUUUUUUUUCUUUUUCUUUUUUAAAAUUAAACAGCCCCAAUCUUCUCCACUUCCUCAGCCCCUUAGAAACUGAUUGUAUUAUAUACUCAUUUUCUUCACCUGUGUUUGAAUAUAUUUUAUUUCUUAUUUCUUAUUUCUUAUUCUCACUCUUCUGCUCUGGUAGUCUUGGUCUGACAUUACCAAGAAAGGCCUACAUUGGGUCCUUCAAAGGUAUCCAAAAGAAUUUAAAAAAACAUAAUUCCAAUACAAAACAAACAAACAAACAAAAACCACACAAAAACAAACAAACAAACAAAAAUCCAACCAACUGCAGCAUGCACUCACUUUACAGGACAUUAUUUUAAAAUCAAAGUUCAUCAGGAUUUUCCACCUGAAGAUCCACAAUUGCAGACAUUUUAGGCCAUGCAUUUCUCAGUCUCCUUCAUAAUAUUCUUCUGAUCACCUCCCCAGCCUGAAGCACACACUUACUGCAUCUUUCUGCUGUGGCCGAAGCCAGAUGGUACAGCCCAGUACUUUUCUCCAUACAAAAUGUAUGCCAAGGAGACAGACAUCUUCCUUGAGGUUUAUGACCCUCUUAUAACUAUAGUAGUUUUAAUUAUGAACUUCCCAUCAGUCCUUAGGCUAAUGCAAGCAUCUGGAAGAAAGCCCAUCUUCAGAAACACAACUCAUCUGAUCUUUGAGAGUCCCUGUGAUAGAGACAUACCACAUGCAAUGGUGGAGGACAAUUCAAAAGCAGAUAUGCAAAUGUUCACACAGUUUCCUUGAAGGCGGUUAAGAUACCUAUCUAUAAAGCCAAGAAGUGACUGUGAGGUUGAGCCAUCAGUGCCAGCUCCCAAAGAGAAAACGUGCCAAGAGGAAAUUCAGCAGAAAUAUGGUGUACCAUGUUCAUAUGAAAGCAAAUCAGAAAUAAAUCUUGUUGCU
rnacentral:lncRNA from 1 species